rnacentral:rRNA from 1 species
AGCGAACGUUAGCGGCAGGCUUAACACAUGCAAGUCGAGCGAGAAAGGGGCUUCGGCCCUGAGUAAAGCGGCGGACGGGUGCGUAACACGUGGAUAAUCUGCCCUUCAGUGGGGAAUAACGUUCCGAAAGGAACGCUAAUGCCGCAUGUCACAGCAAUGUCUCUGGACAAAGUUGGAAAAGGGGACGCCCGCAAGGGGUUCUCGCUGGAGGAUGAGUCCGCGGCCCAUCAGCUUGUUGGCGGGGUAAUGGCCCACCAAGGCGAAGACGGGUAGCUGGUCUGAGAGGAUGACCAGCCACACUGGGACUGAGACACGGCCCAGACUCCUACGGGAGGCAGCAGUGGGGAAUUGUUCGCAAUGGGCGCAAGCCUGACGACGCAACGCCGCGUGGAGGAUGAAGGUCUUCGGAUUGUAAACUCCUGUUGAUCGGGACGAAAAGCUUCGACCUAACACGUCGAGGACUGACGGUACCGGUUGAGGAAGCCACGGCUAACUCUGUGCC